rnacentral:rRNA from 1 species
AGUGAACGCUGGCGGUAGGCCUAACACAUGCAAGUCGAACGGCAGCACAGGAGAGCUUGCUCUCUGGGUGGCGAGUGGCGGACGGGUGAGGAAUACAUCGGAAUCUACUCUGUCGUGGGGGAUAACGUAGGGAAACUUACGCUAAUACCGCAUACGACCUACGGGUGAAAGCAGGGGACCUUCGGGCCUUGCGCGAUUGAAUGAGCCGAUGUCGGAUUAGCUAGUUGGCGGGGUAAAGGCCCACCAAGGCGACGAUCCGUAGCUGGUCUGAGAGGAGGAUCAGACACACUGGGACUGAGACACGGUCCAGACUCCUACGGGAGGCAGCAGUGGGGAAUAUUGGACAAUGGGCGCAAGCCUGAUCCAGCCAUACCGCGUGGGUGAAGAAGGCCUUCGGGUUGUAAAGCCCUUUUGUUGGGAAAGAAAUCCAGCUGGCUAAUACCCGGUUGGGAUGACGGUACCCAAAGAAUAAGCACCGGCUAACUUCGUGCCAGCCGCCGCGGUAA